rnacentral:rRNA from 1 species
GAUGAACGCUGGCGGCGUGCCUAAUACAUGCAAGUCGAGCGAACAGAUAAGGAGCUUGCUCCUUUGACGUUAGCGGCGGACGGGUGAGUAACACGUGGGUAACCUACCUAUAAGACUGGGAUAACUUCGGGAAACCGGAGCUAAUACCGGAUAAUAUUUCGAACCGCAUGGUUCGAUAGUGAAAGAUGGUUUUGCUAUCACUUAUAGAUGGACCCGCGCCGUAUUAGCUAGUUGGUAAGGUAACGGCUUACCAAGGCGACGAUACGUAGCCGACCUGAGAGGGUGAUCGGCCACACUGGAACUGAGACACGGUCCAGACUCCUACGGGAGGCAGCAGUAGGGAAUCUUCCGCAAUGGGCGAAAGCCUGACGGAGCAACGCCGCGUGAGUGAUGAAGGUCUUCGGAUCGUAAAACUCUGUUAUUAGGGAAGAACAUACGUGUAAGUAACUGUGCACGUCUUGACGGUACCGAAUCAGAAAGCCACGGCUAACUACGU